CCGCAGAUCAGGAAGGCAGUGGUUAAGUCUGGUCAGGCCCAGGGGAUAAGCAGAAACACCCUGUCAGACUUGGACCAAGAUACCCUGUUGAAAAUGCAUUUCUGUGACAGUGACAAACAUAUUGGUUGGAAAUCGAGCUCUGCUGCCACAUGGCAAACAUGUUGUGUGGCCCGUCAUGGGAAGGCGAGAUGACCAUUUCGAGGGCUGGACACUGAGAUGUCCACAGAGCCAGCUCAGAGGGUCACCUCCCCUCCUUCUCCUCAUCCCCACUCGUGGCCUUCUCUAAGUGGGAAGCUCCU